rnacentral:rRNA from 1 species
UUUAUGGAGAGUUUGAUCCUGGCUCAGGACGAACGCUGGCGGCGUGCCUAAUACAUGCAAGUCGAGCGGAUCGAUGGGAGCUUGCUCCCUGAGAUCAGCGGCGGACGGGUGAGUAACACGUGGGUAACCUGCCUGUAAGACUGGGAUAACUCCGGGAAACCGGGGCUAAUACCGGAUAACACCUACCCCCGCAU